rnacentral:rRNA from 1 species
UACAGAGGGGGCAAGCGUUGUUCGGAAUUACUGGGCGUAAAGGGCGCGUAGGCGGCCUUCUAAGUCGAACGUGAAAUCCCCGGGCUCAACCCGGGAACUGCGUCCGAGACUGAAAGGCUUGAAUCCGGGAGAGGGAUGUGGAAUUCCAGGUGUAGCGGUGAAAUGCGUAGAUAUCAGGAAGAACACCAAUGGCGAAGGCAGCUCGCUGGGACGUUACUGACGCUGAGACGCGAAAGCGUGGGGAGCAAACAGG